rnacentral:tRNA from 1 species
UGGUGUGGCUCAAUGGUAGAGCACUUCAUUCGUAAUGAAGGGGUUGGGGGUUCGAUUCCCUUCACC